rnacentral:lncRNA from 1 species
GGUACUGGCAUAAAAAUAGGCACAUAGAACAAUGGAACAGAUUAGAGAACCCAGAAAUAAACCCUAAUAGUUACAGCCAACUGAAUCUUCGACAAGGCAAACGAAAACAUAAAGUGGGAAAAGGACACCCUAUUCAACAAAUGGUGUUGGAAUAAUUGGCAUAACUUCAAAAUAUACUACAGAGGUAUAGCAACCAAAACAACAUGGUACUGGCAUUAAAACAGACAAAUAGACCAGUGAAACACAACGGAGAACCCAGAAACAAAUUAUUAUAUUUGCAGCCAAUUGUUUUUUGUCAAAGUUGCUAAGAACAUGCAAUGGAGCUACCGUCCUUCAGAUCCCAGAAUGGUAGAUUCCCCGACAGCUUGCACUUUGCACCUGGAAAAGCUGCAGACACUCAAAGCCAGCCGUUAAAGCAGCCAGGAGGGAGACUGUACCCUGCAGAGCCACAGGGGCGGAGCUGCCCAA